rnacentral:rRNA from 1 species
UCCGGGGAGGGAGCCUGAGAGAUUGCUCCUACGUCGAAGACGGCAGCAGGCGGGAAAAUAGCCCACUCUUCUUUAGGAGAGGCAGUUAAGAGACCUGAAUAAAGGAAUACAGUAAAUAAGUCCUUGUAUCGCAAUAGAGGUCAAGUUUGGUGCCAGCAGCGGCGGUAAUACCGGCUCCAAGAGUGUCUAUUGUGGAUGCUGCAGUUGAAAAGUCCGUAGUUAUUGUGUGCAAUUAAAAGGUAUUGAUCAAAGAUACCAAGUUUGCAUCAAUAUUUCUAGAACCGGAUAGGGAACAUAGUAUAGAUGGGCGAGAGAUGAAUAUGACCAAGACCCCAUCUGGACUAACAGAGGUGAAAGCGAUUUUUUUAGACGAAUCUGUGGAUCAAGGUCGAAGGCCGGAGGAUCGAAAGUGAUUAGAUAAGGCUGUAGUUCAGGCAGUAAGCUAUGCCGACAUCUUUUCCGUCACUUUAAUAGUGGGAGCGAGGGAGAAAUUUUAGUUCUCCGGCUGUAGCGUCAGCAGGCUCGCAAGACUGAAACUUAGAACGAAAGAGAGGGAAUAACACCUCCAGGAGUGGAUUAUGCGGUUUAAUUUGACUCAACGGGGGACAACUCACCAGGGUCUAGUCUAUCAAAGAUUGAAUACACGAGAUAGGCAGGAGUGGUGCAUCGUGCAGGAAAUUGAUGGGAUGAAGCUGAGCUUAGAGGAAUUGGCGGCAGGAUCUUCCCGGCAGGUGUUUUAUAACACAGGUGGGAGAAGGCUAUAACAGAUCAGUGAUGCCCUUAGAUAUCAUGGACUGCUCGCGUAAUCCACCUCCGAUUAUAGGUUAGGGUAAUAUAAUAAAAACCUCCUCUCAUAAAGGGAGUGAUUCUUGCAAUUGUCUCACAAAGAGAAUUUCCUACUAACAGUAGUCAGAGAGAGCGUGGAAUUUAUUAAUUU